CCUACGGGAGGCUGCAGUGAGGAAUAUUGGUCAAUGGCCGUAAGACUGAACCAGCCAAGCCGCGUGAAGGACGAAGGUGCCAAGCAUUGUAAACUUCUUUUGUCCAGGGACAAAAUCCGUCUCGAGUGCCUGUCCGAGGGUACUUGAAGAAAAAGCAUCGGCUAAAUCCGUGCCAGCAGCCGCGGUAAUACGGAAGGUGCGAGCGUUAUCCGGAUUUAUUGGGUUUAAAGGGUGCGUAGGCGGGAUGUUAAGUCUGCCGUGAAAAGCCGGGGCUCAACCAUGGCACAGCGGUGAAAACUGGCUGGCGUGAGAGGGCGAGAGGUAUGCGGAAUGCGCAGUGUAGCGGUGAAAUGCUUAGAUAUUGCGAAGAACUCCGAUUGCGAAGGCAGCAUACGGGAGGGGAUCUGACGCUGAGGCACGAAGGUGUGGGUAUCGAACAGGAUUAGAUACCCGAGUAGUC
rnacentral:rRNA from 1 species